GACGAACGCUGGCGGCGUGCUUAACGCAUGCAAGUCGAACGGAAAGGCCCCUUUGGGGGUACUCGAGUGGCGAACGGGUGAGUAACACGUGAGUAACCUGCCCUUGACUUCGGGAUAACUUCAGGAAACUGGGGCUAAUACCGGAUAGGAAUCCUUGCUGCAUGGUGGGGGUUGGAAAGCUUCGGCGGUUUUGGAUGGACUCGCGGCUUAUCAGCUUGUUGGUGGGGUAGUGGCUUACCAAGGCUUUGACGGGUAGCCGGCCUGAGAGGGCGACCGGCCACAUUGGGACUGAGAUACGGCCCAGACUCCUACGGGAGGCAGCAGUGGGGAAUAUUGCACAAUGGGCGGAAGCCUGAUGCAGCAACGCCGCGUGCGGGAUGACGGCCUUCGGGUUGUAAACCGCUUUCAGCAGGGGCGAAGCUUUUGUGACGGUACCUGCAGAAGAAGCACCGGCUAACUACGUG
rnacentral:rRNA from 1 species